rnacentral:rRNA from 1 species
UGGGGAAUAUUGGACAAUGGGCGCAAGCCUGCUCCAGCCAUGCCGCGUGAGUGAUGAAGGCCCUAGGGUUGUAAAGCUCUUUCACCGGUGAAGAUAAUGACGGUAACCGGAGAAGAAGCCCCGGCUAACUUCGUGCCAGCAGCCGCGGUAAUACGAAGGGGGCUAGCGUUGUUCGGAUUUACUGGGCGUAAAGCGCACGUAGGCGGACUUUUAAGUCAGGGGUGAAAUCCCGGGGCUCAACCCCGGAACUGCCUUUGAUACUGGAAGUCUUGAGUAUGGUAGAGGUGAGUGGAAUUCCGCGUGUAGAAGUGAAAUUCGUAGAUAUUCGGAGGAACACCAGUGGCGAAGGCGGCUCACUGGACCAUUACUGACGCUGAGGUGCGAAAGCGUGGGGAGCAAACAGG